rnacentral:rRNA from 1 species
GCAGUCGAGCGGUAGAGAGGUGCUUGCACCUCUUGAGAGCGGCGGACGGGUGAGUAAUGCCUAGGAAUCUGCCUGGUAGUGGGGGAUAACGUCCGGAAACGGACGCUAAUACCGCAUACGUCCUACGGGAGAAAGCAGGGGACCUUCGGGCCUUGCGCUAUCAGAUGAGCCUAGGUCGGAUUAGCUAGUUGGUGAGGUAAUGGCUCACCAAGGCGACGAUCCGUAACUGGUCUGAGAGGAUGAUCAGUCACACUGGAACUGAGACACGGUCCAGACUCCUACGGGAGGCAGCAGUGGGGAAUAUUGGACAAUGGGCGAAAGCCUGAUCCAGCCAUGCCGCGUGUGUGAAGAAGGUCUUCGGAUUGUAAAGCACUUUAAGUUGGGAGGAAGGGUACUUACCUAAUACGUGAGUAUUUUGACGUUACCGACAGAAUAAGCACCGGCUAACUCUGUGCCAGCAGCCGCGGUAAUAC